UGGGGAAUAUUGCGCAAUGGGCGAAAGCCUGACGCAGCAACACCGCGUGAGGGAUGACGGCCUUCGGGUUGUAAACCUCUUUCAGCUCCGACGAAGCGAAAGUGACGGUAGGAGCAGAAGAAGCACCGGCUAACUACGUGCCAGCAGCCGCGGUAAUACGUAGGGUGCAAGCGUUGUCCGGAAUUAUUGGGCGUAAAGAGCUCGUAGGCGGUCCGUUGCGUCUGCCGUGAAAACCCGGAGCUCAACUCCGGGCCUGCGGUGGAUACGGGCGGACUAGAGUCCGGUAGGGGAGACUGGAAUUCCUGGUGUAGCGGUGGAAUGCGCAGAUAUCAGGAGGAACACCGGUGGCGAAGGCGGGUCUCUGGGCCGGAACUGACGCUGAGGAGCGAAAGCGUGGGGAGCGAACAGGAUUAGAUACCCUGGUAGUCCACGGCCGUAAACGAUGAGUGCUAGA
rnacentral:rRNA from 1 species